CAAAGAGCGCAGGGCGGAUGCCUUGGCGCCUGGAGCCGACGAAGGACGUGACAAGCUGCGAAAAGCUGCGGUGAGGAGCAAAUAUCCCACGACCCGCAGAUAUCCGAAUGGGGAAACCCGGCCGGGGUAAGUGCCCGGUCAGUCAUACAUGAACCCAUAGUGUAUGGCGGGGAACGAGGUGAACUGAAACAUCUCAGUAGCCUCAGGAGAAGAAAUCAACCGAGAGUCCGUCAGUAGUGGCGAGCGAACGCGGAUGAGGCCAAACCGCAUGACGCGAGUUGUGCGGGGUUGCGGACCGGCGAUAUGUACGAGAGUUGCGAGUGGAAUGAGCGGUUGGAAAGCCGAGCCCAGAGAGCGUAAAAGUCGCGUACACGAAGCAAAACUCAAGCUAGCCGGCACCAGAGUACCACGAGACACGAGGAACCUUGUGGGAAGCCGGGGGGACCACCCUCCAAGCCUAACUACUCCAGGCGACCGAUAGUGAACAAGUACUGUGAAGGAACGGUGAAAAGAACCCCGGGAGGGGAGUGAAAUAGAAUCUGAAACCCUGUGCUUACAAGCAGUCGUAGGACGUUAAAGUCUGACGGCGUACUUUUUGUAGAACGGUCCGACGAGUUAUGGUGACGGGCGAGGUUAAGUGCUGAAGGCACGGAGCCGCAGCGAAAGCGAGUCUGAAUAGGGCUACUUUAAGUCCGUUGCUGUAGACCCGAAACCGGGUGACCUACCCAUGGGCAGGCUGAAGUGACGGUAAAACGUCAUGGAGGGCCGAACCGUUGUCUGUUUAAAAAGGCUCGGAUGACCUGUGGGUAGCGGAGAAAUUCCAAUCGAACUCGGAAAUAGCUGGUUCUCCCCGAAAUAGCUUUAGGGCUAGCCUCGUGUGUGAGUCUGGCGGAGGUAGAGCACUGAAUGGGCUAGGGGCCUUACCGGGUUACCGAACCUUAUCAAACUCCGAAUGCCGUCAAGAUAUCCACGGGAGUCAGACAGCGACAGAUAAGUGCCGUUGUCGAAAGGGAAACAGCCCAGACCAUCAGCUAAGGUCCCUAAAUCGUCGUUAAGUGGCAAAGGAUGUGGACUUGCGAAGACAGCCAGGAUGUUGGCUUAGAAGCAGCCAUUCAUUAAAAGAGUGCGUAACAGCUCACUGGUCAAGUGGGUCUGCGCCGAAGAUGUCCGGGGCUAAACGAUAUACCGAAGCUAUGGGGCUACGUUAGUGUAGUUGGUAGGGGAGCGUACCGUGCGAGCGGAAGCACGACCGGGAGGACGUGUGGAUUGCACGGUAGUGAGAAUGUCGGAAUGAGUAACGAGAGGAAGGUGAGAAUCCUUCCCGUCGAAAAUCCAAGGUUUCCUGGGGAAGGUUCGUCCGCCCAGGGUCAGUCGGGUCCUAAGGCGAGGCUGAGAAGCGUAGUCGAUGGAUAACAGGUGGAGAUUCCUGUACUACCGGCCGGCGCAAGAGAGAGGCAGUGACACAGUAGGAAUGAGCGAGCGUGCGACUGGAAGCGCACGUCCAAGCACAGAGUGUAGUCCCGUAGUGAAGUACGCGGGAUGGUCAUGAUGUGUGAUGGGGAGGGAACACAAGUACCGAAGCGCGGCGUUUCACACUGGCGAGAAAACCUGCUAUCGAGCCGGAAGGUACCCGUACCGCAAACCGACACAGGUGGAUGAGGAGAGAAUCCUAAGACGAGCGGGCUAAGCAUUGUUAAGGAACUCGGCAAAUUAACCCCGUACGUUCGCAAGAAGGGGUGCCCGCCUCGAUAAGGCGGGUCGCAGUGAAUCGGCCCGAGCAACUGUUUAUCAAAAACACAGGUCUCCGCGAAAUCGUAAGAUGAAGUAUGGGGGCUGACGCCUGCCCGGUGCUGGAAGGUUACGGGAAUCUGUUAGCGUAAGCGAAGCAGUGAACUUAAGCCCCAGUAAACGGCGGCCGUAACUAUAACGGUCCUAAGGUAGCGAAAUUCCUUGUCAGGUAAGUUCUGACCCGCACGAAAGGCGUAAUGACUUGGGCACUGUCUCGACAAUGCGCCCGGUGAAAUUGUAGUACUUGUGAAGAUGCAAGUUACCCGCGACAGGACGGAAAGACCCCAUGGAGCUUUACUGUAGAUUGUUAUUGGGAUCCGGUAUUGACUGUAUAGGAUAGGUGGGAGACUGGGAAGCGCCGGCGUCAGUUGGCGUGGAGUCGUCCUUGGAAUACCACUCUGUCAUUAUUGGUUCUCUAACCGAUGGCCGUGAACCGGUCACGGGACAUUGGCAGUCGGGCAGUUUGACUGGGGCGGUCGCCUCCCAAAGUGUAACGGAGGCGUUCAAAGGUUACCUCAGCACGGUCGGAAACCGUGCAUUGAGUGCAAAGGCAUAAGGUAGCCUGACUGCGAGACCGACACGUCGAGCAGAGUCGAAAGACGGACUUAGUGAUCCGGCGGUAGAACGUGGAAUUGCCGUCGCUCAACGGAUAAAAGUUACCCUGGGGAUAACAGGCUGAUUCCUCCCAAGAGUUCACAUCGACGGGGGAGUUUGGCACCUCGAUGUCGGCUCAUCACAUCCUGGGGCUGUAGCAGGUCCCAAGGGUUCGGCUGUUCGCCGAUUAAAGUGGUACGCGAGCUGGGUUCAGAACGUCGUGAGACAGUUCGGUCCCUAUCUAUCGUGGGCGUAGGAAAUUUGCGAGGAGCUGUCCCUAGUACGAGAGGACCGGGAUGGACGAACCGAUGGUGAACCGGUUGUCGCGCCAGCGGCAUCGCCGGGUAGCUAAGUUCGGCUGGGAUAAACGCUGAAAGCAUCUAAGUGUGAAGCCCCCCUCAAGAUGAGAUUUCCCCACAAUAUGUGAUAAGGUCCCUGACAGACGAUCAGGUUGAUAGGCCGGGUGUGUAAGCGUAGCAAUACGUUCAGCUGACCGGUACUAAUAGACCGAAGACUUGACC
rnacentral:rRNA from 1 species